rnacentral:lncRNA from 1 species
AGCUUACUGCUGAGCACUCUUCCACAUCUGUGAAGAGCUGCUCUCCAUUCUGACAGCCACGUUUAAGGAGGUGGUGGAGGCGGCAGUCUAUCCAACACCCUCCACACAGGAAGAAAGGAUUGCAAAGUGCUACUGAGUAAAUGAACAUCAUUCACAUGGAAAUGCACUGGACGAGAUCAUACAUGUUAAGACAGUUAACAGACAGAAUCAACCAUGGAUUACUUCCAAUGACCAGUGCAAUGACUUGAGCACACACAGACCCAUUUAAAUACAUAAUGAGGGAGAACAUAUGAUCAAGGGCGGAGAUGCCAUCAUUUGUGCUCUGUAUACAACCUACUUUUAUUAAAUGGAAAUUAUGGUCACUGAAUAACUCAAUCUACCUAAACUCUUACAAGGAAUCAGAAGCCCUCAGUUCUUAAGCUGGGUCUGUACUGAUUUACAAUGGGACACAAACACACUGUACCUCCUUAACCCUAACACCCACUUUCCAAUUGCCUGUCUUUCAAAACUAUCUAAUUAGAUUUCUUUAAAAAGAACAUUUUUGUCAUUUGUGAGGAAUUUUUCUUUUCUUUUUUAGUUUGCUCUUACUGAAAAACCAAGGCAACUUCAACUUUAUCUUUUCAUAGGGUCCCUUUCCAAGUGUUAUGACUGAAUGGAAGCUGUGUGGUUGGUGAAGUACUUCGGCUAUAUUUCCAAAAAUAUGCAAUUGUUAGGGGCUGCAAUGCAACAGCCAGUUCCAGAGAC